ACCUGGCUGGCUCAGUCGGUACAGCAUGUGACCCUUGAUCUGAGGGUUGUGAGUUCGAGCCCCACGCUGGGUG
rnacentral:tRNA from 1 species